AACUUACGUAACAUUGGUAGUAGUAUAAAACUAAACUAAUAAAGCUUGACAGUUAUUUUAAUGCAGAGAAACUUGUUUUUUAAUCGAUAACACUCGAUAAUUUUAACUUAAACCUUAAAGUUUAUAUACCACCGUUACUGAUAUUAAAAUAAUCAAAUCACUUAAUAAAACACUUUCAAAAAUCAGGUCAAGGUAUAGCCUAUUUUUAAGUAAAAAUUAGUUACACAUAAAAAUAAAUUUAAGAAAAUAAUACUCAAAAGUAUUCAGAAAAAGAAUCUACAAACAAUUUAAAAUUAAAAAUAGUAAAUGAAAUCAAAUAAAAUAAUGU
rnacentral:rRNA from 1 species